GUAGGCUGCGCCAGAUCUUGUCCAUCUCGCUGACGGUGCCAAUGCUGAUUCCAGUGAGACUGCCUCUGACACCACCAUUCUCUGAAGAAGAGAAGAAUAAGCCAUGGAGUCGAAUUGAGUUGGCGGAUCCAUCAAGAAGGUACUGCGAAGAAACUGCUUACUGAUGACUUGGACGAUGCCGAGAGAAAGGCCGAUGGAAGAGUAGGUGAAGGACAUGACAGCGGCGACGAUGGAGAGCCACCAUAUCUGGUCGAAGUCGGGGAUCUGGGAGAAGAUGAUCUCGGCCACACCGAACAUGAUCAUGUAAGGGUUGCUGUUCACCUGGCAGGGACUGUCAUCUCCGUUCUUGUGGA
rnacentral:lncRNA from 1 species